rnacentral:lncRNA from 1 species
CUAGAAAGAAAUUGUAUGAAUGUGAUGAAGAGAGAAAAGAGAGCAAAGAAAUUAUGUAGACAAAAAAUUUCUGAAUGAAUCAUUUUCUACUAAUGUUACCAAUAUAUAUAGAGAGAAUUGCACCUUUUAGACAUAUCCUUUGGUUUUGGGUGUGCCCUCUCACCAUGAGAUACAACUAAACAUUGCAGCAAUGUUUCUAAUGGAUAUAUCUGAUACAAGAGGUUAAUUACCAAUAAUUACAUAUGUUGGAAAAGGGCAUGCAUCUGUUCGGGAUGCAUCCUGUUUUUCCACCAAACAAUAAAAGGUACGGCAGUUUUCAAAUUCCAAAGAAUGUGAUUGUUGGGUGACUAACCCAACUCCAUCUUCUGACAAACGCCACACUCAUAUAUAUAUACCUAUAUAUAUAUAUUAUUAUAUAUAUAUAUAUAUAUAUAUUUAAAAUAUUCAACAAUCCUUCCCUAUUUUAAAAAUAUAUAGAAAAUGAUAUUACAACUCUCUUUUUAUAAUUAUCACAAGCAUACCGAUAUAAUCAUGCAUACAAUAAAGGUGUCUUUCGAAUUAAACCUUUAAUUAGUGUAAGUGAUUCAAAGUUAUAACGAAUGCGAUGGUGACCUAAGUUUAAACCACCUAUUCUUAUGUUAAAACCGGAAUCACUACACACAUGACUAUGUCUUAUUUCCUUAAAAAAAAUUCUGAACCAAUUAAGCACUAUUAUGGCCUUGUGCUUCAUCCUGGUUUCAUAAACAUUUACAAGAGAAAACCCAACUCUUGGUAGAAGCGGCACCACUUCUUAUGCUCAUAUAGGUGAGGUUCCUUCCCAUGUCCCUGCUACUAUAGACAUAACUACAAUAACCUCAUUAAGAGAUAAAACUCAUCCUCCUAAACGUAGCAGUCUUGCACUGAUCAUCUUGGAAUGAGCUAUAUAAUAAUUUUCAGUGCUUUCACAACCACUUAACAAUAACUUGUUAUUACCCAUUAAACUUUUAAACUAGUGAUGUUCUAGACAAAGUCGGGUUACCAUUAUUGGUGGCUAAUUUUCAGUAAAGGGUUUUAGCCCCAUUCCACUAGAUGUACUAACUACCAAAGCUCUUGAAAGUGCUUUCGUUAACGGAUCCGCCAAGUUAUUACUUGAUUUAACAUAAACAAUAUUAAUAACUCCAUCAGUUAUUAAUUGCUUGACAUAUUCAUGUCUCAAACUAAUAUGUCUAGAUUUUCCAUUGUAUACCUUAUUGUAUGCUCUAGACAAAGUAGCCUCACUAUCACAGUAUAAAGAAAUGGAUGGCAUUGGUUGUGGCCACAACUCUAUUUCCAAUAACAAAUUUCUAAUCCAUUCCGCUUCUUUACCUGCUGCUGCUAAUGCUAUAAAUUCAGAUUCCAUAGUUGAAUGUGCUAUACAUGUUUGCUUCUUCGAAGCCCAAGAAAUUGCUCCUCCGGCAAUUGUAAAAAUCCACCCUGAUGUAGACUUAUUAUCAUUAACACUUGUUAUCCAACUUGCAUCUGAAUAUCCUUCAAGUACUGCUGGAAACUCAGAGUAAGUUAAACUCAGGUUAAUAGUUCUUUUAAGAUAACCAAAAAUUCUAUUUAUUGCUUUCCAAUGAACAGUACCUGGAUGACUAGUGUAUCUAGAAAGUUUGCUUACUGCAAAUGCGAUAUCAGGCCUGGUACAAUGCAUGGCAUACAUUAAACUUCCGAUUACACUAGCAUACUUAAGCUGUGCAACAGACCUACCAGAAUUAUUAAGCAAAGUUUCACUAUGGUCAUAAGGGGUAUUUGCUUCUUUUAUUUGUAGAUGCUUAAACUUAAGAAGCAAUUUUUCUAUAUAAUGUGACUGACACAAAGCGUAGCCCCCACUAUGCUUCUUUACUUUAAUUCCCAAGAUAGUAUCUACUUCAUUCAAAUCCUUCAUCUUGAAUUUUGAAUUUAGAUACUCUUUAGUUUCAGAUACACCUUUCAUGUUUGUACCAAAAAUUAGCAAGUCGUCAACAUAUAAACAUAUAACAACACCAUAAUCAUUUGUGAAUUUAGAGUAUAUGCAUUUAUCAGCACUGUUAUGUCUAAAUCCAUAUGAUAAAAUGACAAAAUCAAACCUUUCAUGCCAUUGUUUUGGUGCUUGCUUCAAUCCAUAUAAUGACUUUACUAAUUUACAAACCUUCUUUUCAUUCCCAGGGAGAACAAACCCUUCUGGUUGUUCCAUAUAGACUUCUUCAUCUAAAUCACCAUUUAAAAAUGUUGUUUUCACAUCCAUUUGAUGCACAUGCAAAUUAUAUAAAGAUGCCAAUGCAAACAAUAUUCUAAUUGAAAAACCCAUGUCUGAUUAGAUAUUAAUGAUUCAAAUUCAUCAUCUAUAGCCUCUUUCCAAAAGGCUGCAUCUCUUGAAGUCAAUGCUUCGCUUAGACUUUUAGGAUCAUCCGGUAUUUUCUUAAGAACCUUUGUUCUAUUUUCUUCGACUAAAAAUACAAUAGAUUGAGAUGAAAUAAAAUCAGAGCCUAGAGUCUUUUCUUUUCUUACCCUUUGUCUUUUCCUUGGUUCAUUAACAGUUUCAGACUGUUUUCUUUUUAUAUUUGUUUCCUUCGACAAUGUGAACUUUAGAGAAAUCUUGAUUUGCAAAAUUCUUAUCACGAUUUCGAGUUUCCUCUUCAAUUUGAAUACCCUUUUGCAAAUUCUCCAAACUAAUAUCUUCCACCAUGUGUAGAAGUUUCUUUCUAUAGUUAUUCCAUGUUUGGGGUAAUUUUGCCAUAAUAGCUCCAACUAUCAUAGGAUCCAGAAUAACUAUUUUAAGUUCACGAAGCUUUGAGACCAAGACUAAUAAUUCAUGAACUUGGUCUAGGAUGGGUUUGUUAUCAAACAUAGUGAAUUCAUAAUAUUUGAACAUUAAAAAUUUAUCGGUACCUUAAAAAUUUAUCGGUACCUCUUUUUUCCGUUGUGUACUUGUGUUCAAGUGCUUCCCAAAUUUCCUUGGAGAUUGAAUGUGUGCAUACAAGUCAUAUAAACGAUCAGAUAAUGUGCCCAAGAUGUGUCAUCGACAUACCAAUUCAUCUUCUUCACGCUUCUUUCGAUCGGCAACUAUAUUGUCCGAGUCUUUGUCACUUGGUUCACGAAUAGGCUCCAAUUUCGGGUCCAACACAUAUAUGACAUUUAGAACAGCAAGCAUGAAACGCAUCUUGUCCUUCCAUCGGGUGAAAUUUGAUCCAUCAAAUUUGUCUAACUUGUAGACAUCUUGAUUGAUAAUCUUCAAAGCCAUGUUAUCAGAUUUGUUAUCCAUGACGAAAAUAACACUUUAAGAUUGUUAGAUUAAAUGUAGAAUUAUGGAGAAUAAUCUGAAUAAUGACUUUGAGGUACGACUUGAAUCGUUUCCUUAAAGUGUUAUUUGCCCCCACUCGAAUGAGUUUGCUAAAGGGUUCUUGGCAAAUCACUUCCAGGAUACAACAAAGUAUGGAAUAUUCGAUUAGCAAAACCGAAUUAUAUUCCCUUAGAAAAUAACUAGAAAGAAAUUGUAUGAAUGUGAUGAGAGAGGAAAAGAGAGCAAAGAAAUUAUGUAGACAACAAAUUUCUGAAUGAAUCAUUUUCUACUAAUGUUACCAAUAUAUAUAGAGAGAAUUGCACCUUUUAGACAUAUCCUUUGGUUUUGGGUAUGCCCUCUCACCAUGAGAUACAACUAAACAUUGCAGCAAUGUUUCUAAUGGAUAUAUCUGAUACAAGAGGUUAAUUACCAAUAAUUACAUAUGUUGGAAAAGGGCAUGCAUCUGUUCGGGAUGCAUCCUGUUUUUCCACCAAACAAUAAAAGGUACGGCAGUUUUCAAAUUCCAAAGAAUGUGAUUGUUGGGUGACUAACCCAACUCCAUCUUCUGACAAACGCCACACUCAUAUAUAUAUACCUAUAUAUAUAU